UACGAAGGGGGCUAGCGUUGCUCGGAAUUACUGGGCGUAAAGGGUGCGCAGGCGGUUCUGCAAGUCAGGCGUGAAAUCCCCGGGCUUAACCUGGGAAUGGCGCUUGAAACUACGGGACUGGAGUAUGGCAGAGGGAGGUGGAAUUCCACGUGUAGCGGUGAAAUGCGUAGAGAUGUGGAGGAACACCGAUGGCGAAGGCAGCCUCCUGGGCCAAUACUGACGCUCAUGCACGAAAGCGUGGGGAGCAAACAGG
rnacentral:rRNA from 1 species